ensembl:snRNA U4 U4 spliceosomal RNA
AGCUUUGCGCAGUGGCAGUAUCGUAGCCAAUGAGGUUUGUCCGAGGCACGAUUAUUGCUAAUUGAAAACUUUUCGCAAAUAUUGGACCAUCUUCGCAGAUGGUCCCACUUGAUGGUGGCGUAGGAUCCUUUUAGUGUGUUGUUAAAUUCAGUUUGUGAAUAUUUUGUGGAAGG